GGUGAACGCUGGCGGCGUGCCUAAUACAUGCAAGUCGAGCUGCCGGACGGUAAGACUUCUUUUUUGAUGUUAGCGGCUGACGGGUGGGUAACACGUGGAUCACCUACCUAUAUUUCUUGGAUAAUUUCGUGAAACCGCAUCUACUACCGGCUCAUAUUUUGUACCGCUUGGUUCAAAAGUGAUUGACGGUCUUGCUGUUUCUUAUAGAUGGUUCCGCGCUGCAUUAGCUAGUUGGUAAGGUAACGGCUUACCAAGGCAACGAUGCAUAGCCGGCCUGAGAGGGUGAUCGGCCACACUGGAACUGAGACACGGUCCAGACUCCUACGGGAGGCAGCAGUAGGGAAUAUUCCGCAAAGGGCGAAAGCCUGACGGAGCAACGCCGCGUGAGUGAUGAAGGUCUUCGGAUCGUAAAACCCUGUUAUUAGGGAAGAACAGAUGUGGAAGAAAAUGUGCACAUCUUGACGGUACCAAAACAGAAAGCCACGGCUAACUACGUG
rnacentral:rRNA from 1 species